rnacentral:sRNA from 1 species
CUUAUCUAAAUUUUUCACAUGGGUGGGUUUUUUUCCUCAAGUUGUCAUAUCACAAUGAGUGGAAGAUUUGAAUGGAACUGACGUUAAAUAACAUAACACAGAACCAGAUGACCGACUCCAAAUCUCCCUGCAGGAGCUGUCGCAGAUGCAGACGCAUGUCUCUGACACAUCAGUGGUCCUCUCCAUGGACAACAACCGCAACCUGGACCUGGAUAGCAUCAUCGCUGAGGUCAAGGCCCAGUAUGAGGAGAUCGCCAACCGCAGCCGGACGGAAGCCGAGUCCUGGUAUCAGACCAAGUAUGAGGAGCUGCAGCAGACAGCUGGCCGGCAUGGCGAUGACCUCCGCAACACCAAGCAUGAGAUCUCUGAGAUGAACCGGAUGAUCCAGAGGCUGAGAGCCGAGAUUGACAAUGUCAAGAAACAGUGCGCCAAUCUGCAGAACGCCAUUGCGGAUGCCGAGCAGCGUGGGGAGCUGGCCCUCAAGGAUGCCAGGAACAAGUUGGCCGAGCUGGAGGAGGCCCUGCAGAAGGCCAAGCAGGACAUGGCCCGGCUGCUGCGUGAGUACCAGGAGCUCAUGAACACCAAGCUGGCCCUGGACGUGGAGAUCGCCACUUACCGCAAGCUGCUGGAGGGCGAGGAAUGCAGACUCAGUGGAGAAGGAGUUGGACCAGUCAACAUCUCUGUUGUCACAAGCAGUGUCUCCUCUGGAUAUGGCGGAGGCAGUGGCUACGGCGGUGGCCUCGGUGGAGGUCUUGGUGGUGGCCUCGGUGGAGGUCUUGGCGGAGGUGGCAGCGGAAGCUACUACUCC